rnacentral:lncRNA from 1 species
GGAGAAAGUCUGCAACGCUGGGCCUGGAAUGGGAGGGCGGCGCGGGCCUGGAGGGGCUGCCUCAGAGGCGGCCGGAGCAGCAGCCGGAGCUGGGAAGAGGGAGAUGGCAGGAAGCAGGGAGGUAAACUUGUCCCGCUGCCCACCUGGGCAGACUCAAAAGCCAUUAGGUUUCCCAGAGCAGCAGGCUUGGUGAGAGAUGCAUGUUGUCUGCUGCCAGAGGGGAGGUCUGGCCCGGAAGACAGUCAGGAGCUGGAUCUGGCAGCUGUGGGGCUCUUAGGUGGGGAGGACGGUGGAAGUGGAUGCACCUGGGGGACCGUCUCAGAGGGGCUGGCCCACUCCUACUGUGCCAGAUCUGGAGGUGUGCCCCUGUCUGAACUCCAUCCUGCCUGCUGCCCAGCAACUCCCUGGCUUCCUCCCUGUCACAUGGGACUCCCGCACCCGGUGCUGUCCAGGGACCCCCCACACUCCACACCCUCCGGACCUCGCAGGACAUUUCCAGGUCUGGCCACAAGGUGGAGCGUGGCAGCUGCAGGACAGUGCUGGGGGCCGGGCUGCAGAGGAGCCUGGACCUGCGCCCGGUGACCUCCCCGCUCUGUGAACGUGUGGGAGUUUGUGUCUGUGCAUCCAGAGAACCAGAGGGCUGUGGUUGACUUGCCGUGCUCCCCCCAACCCCCCACUGGGAUUGCCUGGGUCUCUGGGGGAUCACUGAGAAGCUGGAUAAAGAGGGCUGGCACUGUUGCCUCGGCUCACUAAUGCCUCAUGGUUUUACAGGUGAGGAGACUGAGGCCCAGAGAAGGAAGUCACGUGCUGAGGUCACUGACUAAUCAGUGGCUGAUCUGGUCGAACCCAGAUCUCUUGAGCUGUAAGGUCUCUGCUUUUCCUGUGGCAUGGAGAGGGGCUUCUCCCACCUAGGGAGGGGAGAUCCUGUUGUACUAGGGAGGCAGGGGAUUAAAGAUGGACUGAGAGGU